rnacentral:lncRNA from 1 species
CUUGGAGUAGUUGAUAUUGUUGAUCACAUGUCAUUGUAUUGUGAUAAUAAUAGAAUCAUUGCGAAAGCAAAGGAACUAAGGUCUCAUCAAUGAUCCAAACAUGUAUUAAGGCGGUAUAAUCUCAUCAGAGAGAUAAUACAUAGAAAUGACGUAAAGUAAAGAAAAGAACAAAUUUCCACAUUUAACAAUAUUGCAGAUCCACGGACAAAGAGUUGUCAUAACAUAAACAUAAUCGUCAUGUAGACUUAUGAUAUUGAAUACAUAAGUGAUUGGAUCUAGUGCAAGUGGGAGUUUGUAAGUAUUAUGCCCUAGGUCCAAUCAACUUUGGGCAUAAAUGCUUUUGAUAUAUAUAUAUAAUUAAUUCAAUUUAUGGCAUAUCUAUUAUUUAAUUAAUAGACAAUUAAAUAAAUAAUAGAGUCCGAAGAUUCAAACCUCCGUAAUUUGUUAAUCACAAGGAGUUGUGAUUGUGAGAUACAAAUUGCAUCUGAUUGAAUCUUAAAUCAUCCAUGGUCGUAAGUAAUAACGAGAUACGGAUAUCAUUAUUACGGAUAGACCAUCACGUGUGGCAUUUCUUACUUGUGAAGUAAGUAGCUGAUCUCACAAGUUAAAAUGUGGUGACACUUAAAUGAACACGUGGAUGUUUUGUUAUAAAACAAAAUAUUGGAGACCCAUCGAGAGAUUCCACACGGAUAACUAUCUGAGUGUCAGUGGUUAAUCUCUAGCGUUCGGUAGUGGAAUUGGUCCUUUGACUUGAGGUCGUCGUGGUACCUUAUAUGAGGAGAGUCAUACUUUGGCGAUGUUGGAUGUUGCUCUAAAAAGGGCCGCUAAUAAGACAUCGUUCGGGUACGUCAAGAGUCGUAUGAAGGUUGUGAUUGAUCAAUAAAGGAUUCGUCACUCUUAGAUAGUAGGAGAUUAUGAUCUGCGUUUCAUUCAAUUAAGUCGAUGAUGAAAUCCUUGGCCAAGGUGUACUCAUAAGUCGAAAAUGAGUUUUCGACUUAUAUUGACUUAAUAGUGGAGUGAAAGAUAUGAUCGAUGAUCGAGAUUGACACAAUUCCAUAUCUCGUAAUUGAUCGGAUCAUAUUGACGAAAUGAUUAUAGUUUCACGGUAAACGAACGAAUUUGGUUUUGUCAUACCACGUGACAUUUCCCGUCACAUUUAUUGCCCUGACACAUUGCUAGAUGUCAAUCAGGGACAGCGAGUGUAAAUUGACGAUAAAUUAAAAGGGUAUUUUAAUUUAUCAAUUUUGAUUAGAUCAAAAUAAUAUUUCACGUCGUUAGGUAUCGUGGUCGGGAACCUAAUGGGUCGCACACAAAAGAGAAUUGGAAGAUUGCAAAUUGCCAAUUGGUUAAUUUAACAAUCGUUGGAUAAAUUAAUUAAUUGAAUUUGUUAUUUAUAUUCCCGAAUUAAUUAAUUGAAUUAAUUAAUUCACGGGCCGAGUUUAAUUAAUUGGAUUAAUUAAAUAUUGGACCGGACCGGGCCAAGCCCGUUUGGGUUUAUAUAAAUACAUGGCUAGGGUUUGAGGUCCAUAUGAUUUUCAUUAUUCUUACUGGCACAAGAGAGAAAACCCUAGUAGCUGCAAUCUUGUUCUCUGUGUGGAUUACCGUUGGAGGCUGAACAAUUGUACAGUUGUGGAUGGUGAAUCAGGAUUGCUGGAACGAAAAGAAUAGCAAAGAAGUUUGCAGAUCUGAAAAGGUACAAUCUUAUCACAAUUUCUAUCUAAACACAAAGGUGAUUCUUGGUGGGAAUCGAAAAUUAUUUUAAAUUCCGCUAUGCAUGUAUAAGUAGAUUCCCAACAAAAGGUGCAUUUGGUAAUGACUGUGUGUCUGACCUAUCGUUCUGUGAUCACUGUGUGCUCGGAAAGUACCAUAGAGUGUCGUUCUCCACUAGUACGCAUAAGGCUAAAAGCAUGCUUGAAUAUGUGCAUUCUGAUCUGUGGGGUCCUGUUAGUAAUCUCACAUCGGGUGGGAAUAGGUAUUUCCUAUCUAUCAUAGAUGACUACACCAGG